rnacentral:SRP_RNA from 1 species
CAGCGCAGCGCCCCGACAGGCGCCAGGGAGGCAACCCAGCAGAGCCCGCACAGUCACCCC